CCUACGGGAGGCAGCAGUGGGGAAUUUUGGACAAUGGGCGCAAGCCUGAUCCAGCCAUGCCGCGUGUGUGAAGAAGGCCUUCGGGUUGUAAAGCACUUUCGGCCGGAACGAAAUCGCGCGGGUUAAUAGUCUGCGUGGAUGACGGUACCGGAAGAAGAAGCACCGGCUAACUACGUGCCAGCAGCCGCGGUAAUACGUAGGGUGCGAGCGUUAAUCGGAAUUACUGGGCGUAAAGGGUGCGCAGGCGGCGUCGCAAGUCAGGCGUGAAAUCCCCGGGCUUAACCUGGGAAUGGCACUUGAAACUACGAUGCUGGAGUAUGGCAGAGGGAGGUGGAAUUCCACGUGUAGCGGUGAAAUGCGUAGAGAUGUGGAGGAACACCGAUGGCGAAGGCAGCCUCCUGGGCCAAUACUGACGCUCAUGCACGAAAGCGUGGGGAGCAAACAGGAUUAGAUACCCUGGUAGUCCACGCCCUAAACGAUGAUGACUAGUUGUUGGAGGAGUUAAAUCCUUUAGUAACGCAGCUAACGCGAGAAGUCAUCCGCCUGGGGAGUACGGUCGCAAGAUUAAAACUCAAAGGAAUUGACGG
rnacentral:rRNA from 1 species